rnacentral:tRNA from 1 species
GCCUUCGUGAUGUAAUGGCCAGCACGCUCGGCCCGUAUUCGAGAGUCCGAGGUUCGAAUCCCAGCGAGGGCG